GACGGAUUGAUUUUGUAUUAGGUGCAAAGGGAACCAGUUAGCCAAUUCCUAGGCUGAUUUUGUAAGUAAUUAGGAAUGAAAGAUUAAACUUUUUUGGUAUUUAGGCUUGAUGGAGUUUGUUAUAGAACUUAUAGUUUGUUGAUUUGGUUUUAAUUGGUGAAGAAUUUGUUGACAACCAGCCUAGGAAGGAUCAUUCAGUGAUGCUUGCAACACAGAACUGGAAGAAGCACAACCGGCUUACCAAGUUUCUCCGAAUCACAACCAGUCCUAUCAUGAACAAAGUAGAGAUGUCUGUUGAAUGGUCAUUGCUUUUUCAAAGAAGGUAAAUUAUGGACCCAAAUUUUCAUUUUCAAAUUAGAAAUUUUAUGAUUAGUGUGAUUGAAGAGAUAUUGGAUGUAGUCAACUAUAGUACAAAUGAAUGGAAAGAUAAAAAAUGAGUAGUCUGAAUGCUGAGCUUUUUCUUUGUUGUUUUUUCUCUCAAAUGGUGGCUGAUUAGACAAACAGAUAUUUUAUCAUUCUAUAAAAAAUUAAGAGUUUGGGAUUUAAUUCUCCAUGUUCACUUGUUCCUGCGUUGCCUUGCUCUGAACCUGCAUGUAUGAAUGUGCCAUUAAAGUUCAGAAAUCCUAUAUUCAGUUGGGCUUGUGAAUCUGAUGUCAAAAAUUUAAUUCCAGAUUUGGUGCUUGUGCAGGAAUAACAUAUAGUUUUAUUAUGAGGUGUGCCUUUAAUACACUUUUUUUUUUCAAAUUGAUAAUAGACUUUAGUGCAUUAUUAAUGACAAGCUAAUAGAAACUUUUUGUCAGUUUUGGAUUUUUGACUAGUUUUUAUAACAGGGUAUGUUUGAAAUGUUUACCACGGAAUUCGGUUGGGCACUAUCAUAAAAUCCUCUAGCUUAUUAAUUAACGGGAUCAUGAUGAGCUAGUGUUCUUGGAAACACAAGAAAAACAAGGAGCCUUACAAAAGAAAGCCGUUUAUUUGAUGUCCAGUUGUCCACCCUAAAUGGUAAUAAAAUUCUGGUACAUUAAGAACCUUUUUAUAUAUUGAUAUGGAUUUUAUAAACUGUCAUGGAUUGCGAUGGAAAUUCAGUUUACGCAUUGCUUUAUGUGGUCAUUGCAUGAUAACCUGGUUUUGCCUUGUAUAUAUAUGUACUUAGGUGUGCAGGUUUUUCACACCAUAUUAGUAUACAUCACUGAAAAAAAAACCAAGUAUUGAGUGAAACUGAAAAUUUGAACCUACAUUUGCAUUUUUGAGUUUGGAUUUUAUCAUGCACAAGAUAUUGAUCUCCAAGGCAUUGUACAGGUGUGCCUGAGCUUUGAGUGAAAAUUUGAACCUACAUUUGCGUUUUUGAGAAUUUAUUUGAGGCAUUGUACAGGUGGAUAUUGAUCUCCAAAGCAUUGUGUACAUGUGGAUCCUCAUUGUAGGUAAUUAAUUUAUUUGCAAUUUUAUUUAUUUGAGGCUUUGAAUUGCUUUCAUGUUGUUGUUUUGGGAAACCCUUCUGGUUCUUGGAUGUAUGCCCUUUUUGAUUUAACUGAAAUUAUGGUAACUUCAGAGUUGAUUGCAGAACUACCACUGAGUGAAGAAUAUAAUAAUGGAAUUAUGUUAACUGUAAGAAUUUAACUUUAUGUAGUAUUGAUCAUGCAGAUGCUUUGAGUACAUAGAAGAAAUGAUUUAUAAACAGGAUCCUAUUAUUAUUAUUAAUGUCCUGCUGCUUCUCGUACUAUUUUCCAUUACAAAUUCAGGGCUACAUAAGAAACACUUUGAAUAUUUGAGGUAUGAUUUGCCCCUUUUCCCGUUUUCACUUUUGACUACUGGAUUUCAUAGUUUAAUUGUUCUUAGCUUGUGUCAUAUUAUAUUUUAUUGGUUUAGGAGAGAGUUGCUUCGUAGCCAUGGUUUUGAGCACAUCGCUAUUGUGUAUGUAUAUACAUAUCGAGCUCACCCGAGCUCAAGCCUAUUUUCAACGAUUUGGCCCGCCCGACAUACAAUACAAGUCAUAAUCCAACGUGGCCCAACUUGAUGACUCAUUAGCUUGUGUGGCGCUUAUGUGGCAAUUCCUACUAUUGCCAACAAUUACAAGAUCAAUGCCAAAUACAUUCUCUUUAUUAUAUGUUCGUUAUUUUUCGUUACAAUAUAAUAUAAAUGUGAUUUAUAUCACACAUGUGUUCAAUUGUAAUUCUCUAUCUAUAUAAAGGGAUCUAUAUCAUGUAAAGAGAGACUCGUGUUCUCUUCUUUCAUCUCUACUCAAUAAUAAUACACUCAUCUCUCCCGUGGACGUAGGCACCAUUGCCGAACCACGUAAAAUCAUGUGUCUACUUAUAUUUUGCAAUCUUCAUUCCGAAUUAUUCUUUUUUAUGUAAUGUGUUUAUAGCUACACUGAAUAAUUUGAAAAAAGUUGUAUUGUUUAAGAAACAAUUGCAGUCACAUCUUACCCAAAAUUCAAUUUAGUGUCUUUUAGAAAUCACUCUCAUCGUUCAUAUGGAAUACAAAUGUUUCUUACUUGCAUAUCAAUAGGCUUUUGGUACUGAUUAAAUGCUAUGAAUGACAAUGGUGUAUGUAAAGCUUUCUUACAUUGUUUUGCAGCUAAAAUGGGGUCUCAAGUCAUGGUUCCUUUUUGAGGCUCUGAAGAUGAUCCCUUGUGAUUGGCAUCUCAAAGUGUGGAGUACUCAAAUGAGGAGGUAGUGGCAAAAAUUAAAGCUAUAGUCUGGGCAUAGAUUUAUUUAAGCAAGGAGAAUAUGCAUCACAAGAGAGGGCACAAUAUGAACUAAGACAAAGAUGUGACAACAUGUUCAGAUGAUGUUUCAGCGGGAGUAGCCUGAAAAUAGCAGUGGACUUAGCUUCAUGUGACAACAUGUUCAAAUCAUUUUUCAAACUUUUUUAGUUAUAAUCUAGAUUAAACUCAAGAAAAUCCAAUUUAUUGUUAGAAGAGACCAUCAG
rnacentral:lncRNA from 1 species